UGCCUGUGAUGAGUUGCCAUGCUAAUACUGACACUGCAGUGACUGAGUGUAAAUGACUUAACUGAGGCGG